rnacentral:rRNA from 1 species
CCUACGGGAGGCAGCAGUGGGGGAUAUUGGGCAAUGGGCGCAAGCCUGACCCAGCAACGCCGCGUGAAGGAAGAAGGAUUUCGGGUUGUAAACUUCUUUUGACAGGGAAGAGUAGAAGACGGUACCUGUCGAAUAAGCAACGGCUAACUACGUGCCAGCAGCCGCGGUAAUACGUAGGUGGCAAGCGUUGUCCGGAUUUACUGGGUGUAAAGGGCGUGUAGCCGGGUUGACAAGUCAGAUGUGAAAUCCCGCGGCUUAACCGCAGAACUGCAUUGGGAACUGUUGGUCUGGAGUACUGGAGAGGUAGGCGGAAUUCCUAGUGUAGCGGUGAAAUGCGUAGAUAUUAGGAGGAACACCAGUGGCGAAGGCGGCCUGCUGGACGGUGACUGACGGUGAGGCGCGAAAGCGUGGGGAGCAAACAGGAUUAGAUACCCUUGUAGUC